rnacentral:rRNA from 1 species
UACGUAGGGGGCAAGCGUUGUCCGGAAUUAUUGGGCGUAAAGCGCGCGCAGGCGGUCUCUUAAGUCUGAUGUGAAAGCCCACGGCUCAACCGUGGAGGGUCAUUGGAAACUGGGGGACUUGAGUACAGAAGAGGAAAGUGGAAUUCCACGUGUAGCGGUGAAAUGCGUAGAUAUGUGGAGGAACACCAGUGGCGAAGGCGACUUUCUGGUCUGUAACUGAAGCUGAGGCGCGAAAGCGUGGGGAGCAAACAGG